AAUCAACGCUGGCGGCGUGCCUCAGACAUGCCAGUCGAACGAUUAAAGCUCUCUUCGGAGAGUGUAUAGAGUGGCGCACGGGUGAGUAACACGUAAGUAAUCUACCUUUGAGUGGGGAAUAACGUCCGGAAACGGACGCUAAUACCGCAUAAUGCAGCGGCAUCGCAAGAUGACAGUUGUUAAAGAUUUAUCGCUUGAAGAGGAGCUUGCGGCAGAUUAGCUAGUUGGUAAGGUAAUGGCUUACCAAGGCUACGAUCUGUAACCGGUCUAAGAGGACGGUCGGUCACACUGACACUGAAUAACGGGUCAGACUCCUACGGGAGGCAGCAGCCGGGAAUUUUGGGCAAUGGGCGAAAGCCUGACCCAGCAACGCCGCGUGAAGGAUGAAGUAUUUCGGUAUGUAAACUUCGAAAGAAUGGGAAGAAUAAAUGACGGUACCAUUUAUAAGGUCCGGCUAACUACGUGCCAGCAGCCGCCGUAACAC
rnacentral:rRNA from 1 species